rnacentral:rRNA from 1 species
GACGAACGCUGGCGGCGUGCUUAACACAUGCAAGUCGAACGGAAAGGCCCUGCUUUUGUGGGGUGCUCGAGUGGCGAACGGGUGAGUAACACGUGAGUAACCUGCCCUUGACUUUGGGAUAACUUCAGGAAACUGGGGCUAAUACCGGAUAGGAGCUCCUGCUGCAUGGUGGGGGUUGGAAAGUUUCGGCGGUUGGGGAUGGACUCGCGGCUUAUCAGCUUGUUGGUGGGGUAGUGGCUUACCAAGGCUUUGACGGGUAGCCGGCCUGAGAGGGUGACCGGCCAUAUUGGGACUGAGAUACGGCCCAGACUCCUAUGGGAGGCAGCAGUGGGGAAUAUUGCACAAUGGGCGGAAGCCUGAUGCAGCAACGCCGCGUGCGGGAUGACGGCCUUCGGGUUGUAAACCGCUUUCGCCUGUGACGAAGCGUGAGUGACGGUAAUGGGUAAAGAAGCACCGGCUAACUACGUG